rnacentral:rRNA from 1 species
UACGUAGGGGGCUAGCGUUGUCCGGAAUCAUUGGGCGUAAAGCGCGUGUAGGCGGUUCGGUAAGUCUGCUGUGAAAGUCGGGGGCUCAACCCUCGAAUGCCGGUGGAUACUGUCGGACUAGAGUGCGGAAGAGGCGAGUGGAAUUCCUGGUGUAGCGGUGAAAUGCGCAGAUAUCAGGAGGAACACCAAUUGCGAAGGCAGCUCGCUGGGACGUUACUUGACGCUGGAGACGCGAAAGCGUGGGAGCAAACAGG